rnacentral:rRNA from 1 species
GUGGGGAAUCUUCCACAAUGGACGAAAGUCUGAUGGAGCAACGCCGCGUGAGUGAAGAAGGGUUUCGGCUCGUAAAGCUCUGUUGUCGGGGACGAAUGUGCAGUAUUUGAAUAAAGUAGUGCAAUGACGGUACCUGACGAGGAAGCCACGGCUAACUACGUGCCAGCAGCCGCGGUAAUACGUAGGUGGCAAGCGUUGUCCGGAAUUAUUGGGCGUAAAGGGAGCGCAGGCGGGAAGGUAAGUCGGUCUUAAAAGUGCGGGGCUCAACCCCGUGAUGGGAUCGAAACUAUCUUUCUUGAGUGCAGGAGAGGAAAGUGGAAUUCCUAGUGUAGCGGUGAAAUGCGUAGAUAUUAGGAGGAACACCAGUGGCGAAGGCGACUUUCUGGACUGUAACUGACGCUGAGGCUCGAAAGCCAGGGGAGCGAACGGGAUUAGAUACCCUGGUAGUCC